rnacentral:lncRNA from 1 species
AAGAGAUCUGGAUGUUGGAUAAGUGCCUCUCUUUAUUCUAAGUGUGGGAGGGGAUUUAAAAUAUCUUGAAAAAGAGCUCCACAACUUUUCUACAUUUGGGGAAGCCUCAGCGAUGAGCAAUUACCAGUAAUUUUUUUGUUAUAUAUCCUAAAACAUUCAGUUUCAUAGCAUUAAUGCAAUCGACUGUAAGGUGCAAUUUUACUCAUAAUUUAAGAAAAAUGCCAAGGAAUGACAGAGUUAUUUUGUAAAAACUCUCCUCCCAUUCAUGUGGGGAUACUUCAUUUGUUUGGAAAGAACAUAUGUCUUUGAUGCGAUGAAAGUUACAGCUAUCAUGUUUAUGUCUUCUGCUUUUAAUGAGACUCAUGUGUCCAGAAAUGCUAUCUCUGAAAUAUUCACUGGGUCUUAAGAAACAUUUGGAAAUAUUUCAUUGAGGAACAGCAGUCUUGCUGUCCUCUUUUAUUUACCUCGUCUGAUGUUACUAUUAGAGUAUCUCACCUUUCAAUAAUUAUGGUCAGAUGUGUCAUGUUUUUCAUUUCCUCUGAGUUCAGUAGCCAUGUUUUACCAUGGAUUGGUCUAUACAUUUUAUAGUCUUGGAAACUGGAAAACCAUCUCAGUUAGCUUUUUGUGACAUUCAAGAAAAGUAUUUAUUCUAAUCUAUUCUCAAACUACAAAUAGGCUUUUCCCUCUCCCCUCACCCAAUCGUGGAUGAAGCAAGCUCACUUGGAUGGAAUUGCUUGCUCUCUUCCUUCUCAUUCAAGAAACCUUCUGAAAAUUCAUUUCUUCAUUGUGGUGGAACAACUCCAAUUUCCUGGAUAUUAUUAAAUUGUCUUUUCUUCUUAUAGAAAAUUCAACCCCAGGCCUGGCACAGUGGCUCACACCUGUAAUCACAGCACUUUGGGAGGCCAAGGCAGGUGGAUCAUGAUGUCAAGAGAUCGAAACAAUCCUGGCCAACAUGGUGAAACCACGUUCCUGCUAAAAAUACAAAAAUUAGCUGGGCUUGGUGGUGUGAGCCUGUAGUCCCAGCUACUCGAGAGGCUGAGGCUGGAGAAUCGCUUGAACCCGGGAGGCAGAGGUUGCAGUGAGCUGAGAUCGCACCAUUGCACUCCAGCCUGGCGACCGAGCGGGACUCCGUCUCAAAAAAAAAAAAAAAAAAAAAACAAAAAAAGAAAGAAAUGUAACUCCAGCCUCUGAUGAAAAACGUAAGUUCUUACUAGAAUAAAAUUAACAAUUUCAAUUAGUUUUCUUCACUGGAUUCAACAUCUCUAGCUAGCAACAUAACUUCAACUAAUUUAACCAGUCAUUGUUAAAUAUGAGUUAUUAAUAUACUUAAAUUUUUAUGCAAGUCUUAUUUGCUCCUCACAAUAAAAUGACUUUUUUGUGUGUGUUAUAUCUUU